rfam:Taylorella equigenitalis MCE9, complete genome.
GGUGGGCCCCUUCGCAUGGGUCGGCAGUGAAUCUGGUCAGGUCGGGAACGAAGCAGCCACAGCUGUGCAGAUCCAGUGCCGAAGUCAGGCUCACUCUU